rnacentral:rRNA from 1 species
CGGUUGAUCCCGCCGGACCUGACUGCUAUCGGAUUGAUACUAAGCCAUGCGAGUCAUUGUAGCAAUACAAGGCAGACGGCUCAGUAACGCGUAGUCAACCUAACCUAUGGACGGGAAUAACCUCGGGAAACUGAGAAUAAUGCCCGAUAGAACACUAUAUCUGGAAUGGUUUGUGUUCCAAAUGAUUUAUCGCCGUAGGAUGGGACUGCGGCCUAUCAGUUUGUUGGUGAGGUAAUGGCCCACCAAGACUAUUACAGGUACGGGCUCUGAGAGGGGUAGCCCGGAGAUGGGUACUGAGACACGGACCCAGGCCCUAUGGGGCGCAGCAGGCGAGAAAACUUUGCAAUGUGCGAAAGCACGACAAGGUUAAUCCGAGUGGUUUGUGCUAAACGAACCUUUUGUCGGUCCUAGAAACACCGAUGAAUAAGGGGUGGGCAAGUUCUGGUGUCAGCCGCCGCGGUAAAACCAGCACCUCAAGUGGUCAGGAUGAUUAUUGGGCCUAAAGCAUCCGUAGCCGGCGCUGUAAGUUUUCGGUUAAAUCUGUACGCUCAACGUACAGGCUGCCGGGAAUACUGCAGCGCUAGGGAGUGGGAGAGGUAGACGGUACUCGGUAGGAAGGGGUAAAAUCCUUUGAUCUAUUGAUGACCACCUGUGGCGAAGGCGGUCUACCAGAACACGUCCGACGGUGAGGGAUGAAAGCUGGGGGAGCAAACCGGAUUAGAUACCCGGGUAGUCCCAGCUGUAAACUAUGCAAACUCAGUGAUGCAUUGGCUUGUGGCCAAUGCAGUGCUGCAGGGAAGCCGUUAAGUUUGCCGCCUGGGAAGUACGUACGCAAGUAUGAAACUUAAAGGAAUUGGCGGGGGAGCACCACAAGGGGUGAAGCCUGCGGUUCAAUUGGAGUCAACGCCGGGAAUC